GGUUCUAUAGUGUAGCGGUAAUCACGUCUGCUUUACACGCAGAAGGUCCUGGGUUCAAUCCCCAGUGGAACCA
rnacentral:tRNA from 1 species